rnacentral:rRNA from 1 species
UCCUACGGGGGGCAGCAGUGGGGAAUAUUGCACAAUGGGGGAAACCCUGAUGCAGCGACGCCGCGUGAGUGAAGAAGUAUCUCGGUACGUAAAGCUCUAUCAGCAGGGAAGAAAAAAAGUCUUUGGCUUUGGACGGUACCUGACUAAGAAGCCCCGGCUAACUACGUGCCAGCAGCCGCGGUAAUACGUAGGGGGCAAGCGUUAUCCGGAUUUACUGGGUGUAAAGGGAGCGUAGACGGCUGGCCAAGUCUGAAGUGAAAGCCCGGGGCUUAACCCCGGAACGGCUUUGGAAACUGGCCG